GUAGGAAUCGAACCUACACCUAAGAGAUCAAAAC
rnacentral:tRNA from 1 species